UACAGAGGUCUCAACCGUUGUUCGGAUUCAUUGGGCGUAAAGGGUGCGUAGGCGGUCGCGAAAGUCGGAUGUGAAAUCUUAGGGCUCAACCCUGAAACUGCAUUCGAUACUGCGUGGCUCGAGUACUGGAGAGGAGACUGGAAUUUACGGUGUAGCAGUGAAAUGCGUAGAUAUCGUAAGGAAGACCAGUGGCGAAGGCGAGUCUCUGGACAGUUACUGACGCUGAGGCACGAAGGCCAGGGGAGCAAACGGG
rnacentral:rRNA from 1 species